AGACAGGGCUGCAGGGAUAUCCAAUGUGGGUUACUCCUCCACAGCCUAUAGCUUCUGCUUGAGGAAGGAUGGUAGUUGUCUGUGGUUGCACGUUGUAUCCACUGUGGAACUCAGAAUGGCUUCUGGGCCCUUGGUUGGCAUGGGCAGAAGAAUAAACACAAAGGUGGUAAGAGAAGCCUGGUCUAGCCAGGCGCGCCCAGGAAAGAAGAGGGGGAAAUGGUGGAGAGAGCAAGGUGAAGGAGGAAUGGGGGGUUACAGUGAGAGAGGAAAAGUAGUGUGAGCAAGUGUGAAGAUCCAGGCUCUGCUGUGGCUAUGUCUCCCCACCCCUACACUCAUACCCAUGCCUGUGACAGACCCUGACUAUCACCACUGUCUCUCCCUCAGCAAGUGAGGAAAUGAGGAGGCUCCCUUCUCCUGAGAUUUCUCAAAGCAUCCACUGGGCAGAGACAAAGCCUACAUUGUGGUUACCAGGGGUGAGGCCCAGUGGGGGACAGUCAUUGGAGGAGGAGCAGCAGCAGCUGGUGGCAGCAGUAUCCUGGUCGGCUCCACAUGGGACUGUGGUUAUGU
rnacentral:lncRNA from 1 species